CUAGUUUUUUAAUCUGAGGCUUUGACUUCCUUUCAUCUUCCUGAAUCUGAUCUAGUUCAUCUUUAGAAAGUGCUUAAGGGACUGAGGAUCGCAAAGACUCACUCUAAAGAAGAUUAAGAGAUGGGGUUUUACCAUGUUGACCAGGAUGGCCUUGAUCUCUUGACCUCGUGAUCUCCCUGCCACGGCCUCCCUGAACUGCUGGAAUUACAGGCUUCCAAGUGAGAAGUUCAGGGCUUCACAAUUGAGAACCAGAAAGAAAAGGAGAAACUGGCCUUUGUUGAGUAUCAACUGUCAACAUUCUUGGAUAAGAAAGUCACGGAUACAGAGUCCUGUCCUAACUCGGAAACUCUGCUCCACCACUAUCUGCAGAGGAGAAGAAGUAUUUAAGCUGAAUACGUCCAAGUUGAUGUGGAUAAAAACCCAAGGAACUUUUCCUAAAGGGAGAACCCCUCUUAAAGGAGAGUCUUAUGACCUGCUUCAGGAGAGAAGGGCAAGGGGAAGGUGAGGGCUAAGAAUUCCUUCUGCAACAACCCUGACAAAUGAGCAUGGUACUUCCAGGAAAAUUUCUCCAGGGUAGUGAAGCUCAUUACCAGAGAGCCACCCAGACAGCAAGAUGAAGCUUAACAAGGAAUACAAGAACAGCCUCCACUUGGAUUCAAAAUCAGCAACUGCAAAAAUUUCAAGAUAAAAAGACCUCCCUAAUGAUAAAGAAACACAUACAGCAAAAACCUUCAGUUGACUCUGUCUUAUUUCAGCUAUGGAAUUUUAGAAUUGGGUGUAUGUGCACCUGAGCAGUAUUCUUUUCUUUGAUAUUUACAGAACCUGUUGGCCAACAUGUUUCCAGAAACAGAGAACCACUCACGACUUUCUAAUAAAGCUAUUCCACAUGUAGACAAACAUAUUCAAUGCUAGUACUAAAAUCUGUUCCUGUUUCGAAUUCUCAUAUCAUGCCUUAACUCCUGUCUUUUGGAACAACUUAGACUGUUUAUGUCUUAACCACAAACACCCUACCACAUACUUGAAGAAGAUUCCCAUAGUUACAGAACACAACUCUUUCCCAAAUAAAAUUUACCUUCACUUUUCCUGAUGAGACAUUGAAAUCUAUUAUUCUUCCCUAGUAGGAUGGAAGUUCUUUGAGUAAAUAUGAGGCAUGUGUGUCAAGGAAAAAGUGGAUGUUUGCUUAAACAAAGAAGUGAGAUCCUGGGAGAAGUCCAACAUGUCACAAUAUUUACCCUGAAAGACACUCAGGCUUAAAUAAAAAUAAAUCAAAUCUUUUAAUCUCCUCUUAACUUAUUUACCCAAAUGCGACAAUGAAUUUUCAUAUAUCACUUUAAAUUCCUGACACACACAAGCCAAAUAUUGAACGCUGAUU
ensembl:lncRNA